rnacentral:tRNA from 1 species
UCCCGCGUGGCACAAUUGGCUAGCGCGUGAGACUUUUAAUCUCAAGGUUGAGAGUUCGAGCCUCUCCGUGGGAG